rnacentral:rRNA from 1 species
GACGAGCUGCUGGCGGCGCUGCUUAACACAUGCAAGUCGAACGAUGAAGCCUAGCUUGCUAGGUGGAUUAGUGGCGAACGGGUGAGUAAUACGUGAGUAACCUACCUUUAACUCUGGGAUAAGCCUGGGAAACUGGGUCUAAUACCGGAUACGACCAAUCUCCGCAUGGGGUGUUGGUGGAAAGCGUUAUGUAGUGGUUAUAGAUGGGCUCACGGCCUAUCAGCUUGUUGGUGAGGUAACGGCUCACCAAGGCGACGACGGGUAGCCGGCCUGAGAGGGUGACCGGCCACACUGGGACUGAGACACGGCCCAGACUCCUACGGGAGGCAGCAGUGGGGAAUAUUGCACAAUGGGCGCAAGCCUGAUGCAGCGACGCCGCGUGAGGGAUGACGGCCUUCGGGUUGUAAACCUCUGUUAGCAGGGAAGAAGAGAGAUUGACGGUACCUGCAGAGAAAGCGCCGGCUAACUACGUGCCAGCAGCCGCGGUAAUACGUAGGGCGCGAGCGUUGUCCGGAAUUAUUGGGCGUAAAGAGCUUGUAGGCGGUUUGUCGCGUCUGCUGUGAAAGGCCGGAGCUUAACUCCGUGUAUUGCAGUGGGUACGGGCAGACUAGAGUGCAGUAGGGGAGACUGGAAUUCCUGGUGUAGCGGUGGAAUGCGCAGAUAUCAGGAGGAACACCGAUGGCGAAGGCAGGUCUCUGGGCUGUAACUGACGCUGAGAAGCGAAAGCAUGGGGAGCGAACAGGAUUAGAUACCCUGGUAGUCCAUGCCGUAAACGUUGGGCACUAGGUGUGGGGGACAUUCCACGUUUUCCGCGCCGUAGCUAACGCAUUAAGUGCCCCGCCUGGGGAGUACGGCCGCAAGGCUAAAACUCAAAGAAAUUGACGGGGGCCCGCACAAGCGGCGGAGCAUGCGGAUUAAUUCGAUGCAACGCGAAGAACCUUACCAAGGCUUGACAUAUACUGGACCGCAUCAGAGAUGGUGUUUCCCUUCGGGGCUGGUAUACAGGUGGUGCAUGGUUGUCGUCAGCUCGUGUCGUGAGAUGUUGGGUUAAGUCCCGCAACGAGCGCAACCCUCGUUCUAUGUUGCCAGCACGUUAUGGUGGGGACUCAUAGGAGACUGCCGGGGUCAACUCGGAGGAAGGUGGGGAUGACGUCAAAAUCAUCAUGCCCCUUAUGUCUUGGGCUUCACGCAUGCUACAAUGGCCGGUACAGAGGGUUGCGAUACUGUGAGGUGGAGCUAAUCCCUAAAAGCCGGUCUCAGUUCGGAUUGGGGUCUGCAACUCGACCCCCUGAAGUCGGAGUCGCUAGUAAUCGCAGAUCAGCAACGCUGCGGUGAGUACGUUCCCGGGCCUUGUACACACCGCCCGUCAAGGGCGAAUUCCAGCA